UACGGAGGGGACUAGCGUUGUUCGGAAUUACUGGGCGUAAAGCGCACGUAGGCGGAUCUGUAAGUCAGGGGUGAAAUCCCGGGGCUCAACCUCGGAACUGCCUUUGAUACUGCGAAUCUCGAGUCCGGAAGAGGUGAGUGGAAUUCCUAGUGUAGAGGUGAAAUUCGUAGAUAUUAGGAAGAACACCAGUGGCGAAGGCGGCUCACUGGUCCGGUACUGACGCUGAGGUGCGAAAGCGUGGGGAGCAAACAGG
rnacentral:rRNA from 1 species